UGCAAGUCGAGCGAACAGAUAAGGAGCUUGCUCCUUUGACGUUAGCGGCGGACGGGUGAGUAACACGUGGGUAACCUACCUAUAAGACUGGAAUAACUCCGGGAAACCGGGGCUAAUGCCGGAUAACAUUUAGAACCGCAUGGUUCUAAAGUGAAAGAUGGUUUUGCUAUCACUUAUAGAUGGACCCGCGCCGUAUUAGCUAGUUGGUAAGGUAACGGCUUACCAAGGCAACGAUACGUAGCCGACCUGAGAGGGUGAUCGGCCACACUGGAACUGAGACACGGUCCAGACUCCUACGGGAGGCAGCAGUAGGGAAUCUUCCGCAAUGGGCGAAAGCCUGACGGAGCAACGCCGCGUGAGUGAUGAAGGUCUUCGGAUCGUAAAACUCUGUUAUUAGGGAAGAACAAAUGUGUAAGUAACUAUGCACGUCUUGACGGUACCUAAUCAGAAAGCCACGGCUAACUACGUGCCAGCAGCCGCGGUAAUACGUAGGUGGCAAGCGUUAUCCGGAAUUAUUGGGCGUAAAGCGCGCGUAGGCGGUUUCUUAAGUCUGAUGUGAAAGCCCACGGCUCAACCGUGGAGGGUCAUUGGAAACUGGGAAACUUGAGUGCAGAAGAGGAAAGUGGAAUUCCAUGUGUAGCGGUGAAAUGCGCAGAGAUAUGGAGGAACACCAGUGGCGAAGGCGACUUUCUGGUCUGUAACUGACGCUGAUGUGCGAAAGCGUGGGGAUCAAACAGGAUUAGAUACCCUGGUAGUCCACGCCGUAAACGAUGAGUGCUAAGUGUUAGGGGGUUUCCGCCCCUUAGUGCUGCAGCUAACGCAUUAAGCACUCCGCCUGGGGAGUACGACCGCAAGG
rnacentral:rRNA from 1 species